CCCACGACGACGAAUCAUUCACGUGUUUUUCGCCCGAACUUUUAAAUGAUAAUGUGUGCCAAUCACUGAGAAACUCAUCACUAAGCAAUUCGAAAAUGAAGAGAGCUAUCCGUCGACAGUAUAUAUUUUACACUGUCAUGGAGUUGCUCUCUUUAUGAACGGAUUCAAAAUCGUCGAGGGAUUUUCCAACUUAUCAAGCGUCGGGGAGGUCAUUCAGUAUCAGAAGGGCACUGCAGCGACCUUUUUUUUCAUGCCUAAUUUUUAACAUAAAGGUAUUUUCCAAUGCUGUUAUUUCAGUUCAUGGCAUUAUUGCAUUGAGUCAAGGACACUUGUGUCAAGUAAACAAAUGAUAAACUACGAAAAAUUAUAACAUGGCAUAUAUAAAAUGCCAAUGUAAUAAAAAACGUUAUGCAAUAUUAGAUUAUGACAUGCACUGCUUCUUCAAUCUAUAAAUAUGCUCAGAAUUAGUAACCCCACAAUUAUUCGUAUCGAUAUUCUCGUUUUAAAGUGGGUGUUAUUUCAACACAACUAUUCUUUGCUUUUUAUGUUCAUAAAAUUCAUAAUCUUCAUUAUUUCUCAUUAAUUUUUAAGCAUCUACCUGUAAUAAAAGCUUGUUAUACAUUAAGUUUGUUUUCAGUUUGGAGUUCGUUACGUUCUUAUCGAAUUUUAAUACACUGUGUCCGUAUUUUUUGUUUCAUCAGGUCCGAUUCUUGAAGAUCUUCUAGAGAGUUCAGUUCAAAUUCAUGGUAACUGCUGCAUAGCUACAAAGAUUUUUUUAAAUAUUUCCGAAUAGAUAAUAAAAGUCAAAGGGAAUCAGUCAUUUCAUACGGUAAUGUAAGAACAACUCGUGCGAACGAUUUUCAUUUGACACAUUUGUAUUAUCCUACAGAAAACAUUUUUUCUUUUUGAUUCACGUGAUUUUUUUCACGAACAUUGAAAUUUUUUUAAUUACUGCUUGUGACUGAGCUCUGAAUACGAAUACAUUUCCUCUUAAAGUACGAGAAACUGAAAAUCUAACAAAGCACGUUUUUAGGAACAAUGAAUCAUUGUAUUACAUUUGUUUUAGAAGUUAUUUGAUUUUUGGUCUGAACUUUGUCAAUAAAUAAAUAGAAAUACAAUUGCAUUCUCUAUAGAACGAUACUACAGCUCGGAGAAAUUUGAUUAGCAUGUAUUUUUUGUCAGUUAUUAGCAAAUGCGACUCUUGUAUUUCAGGCAAAUUCGUCGUACCUAACCCUACAUGUAGUGUGGAAUAUAUUUUUAUAUGAAAUAUUCACACUUUAAUAACUUGGGUUAAUUUAUAGACGACCUUAAACAUCUCCAACUGUGUUGAAAUGUUGCAGUCGUGACUUACAAAUUUGUAUGAAAAUUGACUAAUAAAAAUUUUGUUCAUUAACGUUAACAUAUUUUUUUAACCACCAAUGUAUUCUAACACUCGGUGCAGUUUUAUACGUGUCCGAGAAUACGUGACGCUUUUUUAAUUAGUAGUUAGAACAAAUUACUUCAUAGAUCGGGUUGAUAGUUUGUAACCACAAAUGAAAUAAAAAUAAUAAAUAAAUAUAACUCGUUAAAAAUUUUA